rnacentral:rRNA from 1 species
AAACCAACAGGGACUGCCCCAGUAGCGGCGAGUGAAGCGGCAAGAGCUCAGAUUUGAAAUCGUGCUAAUUUUUUUGGCACGAGUUGUAGAGUGUAGGCGGGAGUCUUUGUGGAGCACGGUGUCCAAGUCCCUUGGAACAGGGCGCCUGAGAGGGUGAGAGCCCCGUGGGGUGCCGUGCGAAGCUCUGAGGCCCUGCUGACGAGUCGAGUUGUUUGGGAAUGCAGCUCCAAGUGGGUGGUAAAUUCCAUCUAAGGCUAAAUACUGGCGAGAGACCGAUAGCGAACAAGUACUGUGAAGGAAAGAUGAAAAGCACUUUGAAAAGAGAGUGAAACAGCACGUGAAAUUGUUGAAAGGGAAGGGUAUUGGGCCCGACAUGGGGAGUGCGCACCGCUGUCUCUUGUAGGCGGCGCUCUGGGCGCUCUCUGGGCCAGCAUCGGUUCUUGCUGCGGGAGAAUGGGUGCCGGAAAGUGGCUCUUCGGAGUGUUAUAGCCGGCGCCAGAUACCGCGUGCGGGGACCGAGGACUGCGGCUUC